GCUCCUAUAGCUGAAUGGUUAAAGCAACAGUCUCUUAAACUGUGGAUUCAAGGUUCAAGUCCUUGUGGGAGCA
rnacentral:tRNA from 1 species